GAUGAACGCUGGCGGCGUGCCUAAUACAUGCAAGUCGAGCGAACGGACGAGAAGCUUGCUUCUCUGAUGUUAGCGGCGGACGGGUGAGUAACACGUGGAUAACCUACCUAUAAGACUGGGAUAACUUCGGGAAACCGGAGCUAAUAACGGAUAAUAUUUUGAACCGCAUGGUUCAAAAGUGAAAGACGGUCUUGCUGUCACUUAUAGAUGGAUCCGCGCUGCAUUAGCUAGUUGGUAAGGUAACGGCUUACCAAGGCAACGAUGCAUAGCCGACCUGAGAGGGUGAUCGGCCACACUGGAACUGAGACACGGUCCAGACUCCUACGGGAGGCAGCAGUAGGGAAUAUUCCGCAAUGGGCGAAAGCCUGACGGAGCAACGCCGCGUGAGUGAUGAAGGUCUUCGGAUCGUAAAACUCUGUUAUUAGGGAAGAACAGAUGUGGAAGUAACUGUGCACAUCUUGACGGUACCUAAUCAGAAAGCAACGGCUAACUACGUG
rnacentral:rRNA from 1 species